GAUGAACGCUGGCGGCGUGCCUAAUACAUGCAAGUCGAGCGAAUGGAUUAAGAGCUUGCUCUUAUGAAGUUAGCGGCGGACGGGUGAGUAACACGUGGGUAACCUGCCCAUAAGACUGGGAUAACUCCGGGAAACCGGGGCUAAUACCGGAUAACAUUUUGAACCGCAUGGUUCGAAAUUGAAAGGCGGCUUCGGCUGUCACUUAUGGAUGGACCCGCGUCGCAUUAGCUAGUUGGUGAGGUAACGGCUCACCAAGGCAACGAUGCGUAGCCGACCUGAGAGGGGGAUCGGCCAGACUGGGACGGAGACACGGCCCAGACUCCUACGGGAGGUAGCAGUAGGGAAUCUUCCGCAAUGGACGAAAGUCUGACGGAGCAACGCCGCGUGAGUGAUGAAGGCUUUCGGGUCGUAAAACUCUGUUGUUAGGGAAGAACAAGUGCUAGUUGAAUAAGCUGGCACCUUGACGGUACCUAACCAGAAAGCCACGGCUAACUACGUGCCAGCCGCCGCAGUAA
rnacentral:rRNA from 1 species